GCUAUUCUCCGGGGACCAUCAUGUGUGAACCACAGCUGUAUACCUUGUCUCCUGCCUUUUCUAGACCCUAGUCCUCCAUCACUCAUGUGUUCAAGUGGAGAGGAGGAAGGGGGGAUAAGAAAUGUUUGUCUUACUUAGCUGGCUGUGGCUGCAGUCCUCUCUUGGAUGGUUGCUGCUAUCUACUUCCACUACUGGUUGUUAAUAUCUUCCAACUAUGUGGACAAUCCAACUUUUGCCUUCUCUUGGGAAAAUAUCUUCCUCUUCCUGAGAUGCCACAUGGAGGUGAACUGGAAGAAAAAGAGCAAAAACUGAAACCUGAAGAAUGGAGGCUGUCUUCAAACAAGCCCAACGGAAUUUGAGGAUGCCAGCACCUUUCCUACAUAUUUAAACUUAUCUGCAUUCCCGUUUCUGGAAUACCCUAUACCUGCAUUCUAAGUAGACUCAUGGAAGCUUCAGAGGUCAUUUAACACAUAAUGUCUCAUCUGUACAUCUUGAAGUGGUGAGUGGCUUGCCUAAGAGAACACAGAUGCUCAGUGGCAGAGCCAGAACAUGAACUCAUGCAUAAUGACCUCUGUCAUCUGGGGCCAUCGUCUGAUUUGGUACUUGUGGUUGGUACAGACUCUCUGCGCCACACCUCAUUCCACUGUGAAAGCAUUCUCAUACUGCUUUUAAUUUCAUAACUGUUAAAAAUUAUUUGGCUACGCAUAUUUCAUGCACUAUCGAGUAAA
rnacentral:lncRNA from 1 species